rnacentral:rRNA from 1 species
UACGUAGGAUGCAAGCGUUGUCCGGAAUUAUUGGGCGUAAAGAGCGCGCAGGCGGUAUGACAAGUCAGAUGUGAAAGAGGCCGGCUUAACCGGCAAGGGUCAUUUGAAACUGUCAGACUAGAGUGCAGCAGAGGAUAGUUGAAUUCCCGGUGUAGUGGUGAAAUGCGUAGAUAUCGGGAGGAACACCAGUGGCGAAGGCGACUAUCUGGGCUGCAACUGACGCUGAGGCGCGAAGGCUAGGGUAGCAAACAGG